GCAAGUCGAGCGAACAGACGAGGAGCUUGCUCCUCUGACGUUAGCGGCGGACGGGUGAGUAACACGUGGAUAACCUACCUAUAAGACUGGGAUAACUUCGGGAAACCGGAGCUAAUACCGGAUAAUAUAUUGAACCGCAUGGUUCAAUAGUGAAAGACGGUUUUGCUGUCACUUAUAGAUGGAUCCGCGCCGCAUUAGCUAGUUGGUAAGGUAACGGCUUACCAAGGCAACGAUGCGUAGCCGACCUGAGAGGGUGAUCGGCCACACUGGAACUGAGACACGGUCCAGACUCCUACGGGAGGCAGCAGUAGGGAAUCUUCCGCAAUGGGCGAAAGCCUGACGGAGCAACGCCGCGUGAGUGAUGAAGGUCUUCGGAUCGUAAAACUCUGUUAUUAGGGAAGAACAAAUGUGUAAGUAACUAUGCACGUCUUGACGGUACCUAAUCAGAAAGCCACGGCUAACUACGUGCCAGCAGCCGCGGUAAUACGUAGGUGGCAAGCGUUAUCCGGAAUUAUUGGGCGUAAAGCGCGCGUAGGCGGUUUUUUAAGUCUGAUGUGAAAGCCCACGGCUCAACCGUGGAGGGUCAUUGGAAACUGGAAAACUUGAGUGCAGAAGAGGAAAGUGGAAUUCCAUGUGUAGCGGUGAAAUGCGUAGAGAUAUGGAGGAACACCAGUGGCGAAGGCGACUUUCU
rnacentral:rRNA from 1 species